AGUGCCUAAUGUUGAUCCUAUCAAUGCAGAACCAGUUGUUGUCCCUGCUGCAGUGCCAAAGAAGGACAAAGGAGAACAACCCAUUGUUACUGCAAGCCCUAUUUUGCCUCAAAAAACGAAGAGGCCCUCUGGUAUUACUCUUGAAAACUUCAAGCCCCAUUCUCAUUAUUUUUGUUACAAUGAUAAUGAUAGAGACAUGAAAUUUUAUGAGAAUAGGAAUUAUACUGUUGAGAAAAAUUUCAAUGUCAUUGCUCAUAAGCCAUUUGGGGUUUAUAACAUGUUGAAAGAAAGAUAAUGGGUGGAUACUUUGAUCGGUGUUGAUGGCUAUGUGGAUCAAAUUGUCAAGGAGUUUUAUGCUAAUAUCACUGAUGAGUGCCUCGAUGGGGACUAUUUUAUGUUUGGCAAACUUUGUCAGGGAACACUGGUAUUCCUUUACUGUAAAGGAAGUGGCUGAAGCUCUAAAUCUGCCUAUGGGAAUUGAGCCAACUGAUGUGGAAUUUAAUCGUCAAAAAGUGUUCGGGUAUCUCACUGGUGAUAAUGAUGUGGAACUCUCCGACACAAUGCAUAUGUCUCAACUCACCUAUCAUCAUGCUGCUCUUAUGAGGUUUGCCCUAUCCAAUUGGUUUCUUUGCUCAAAUCCGAUAAAUGUUUCAAAAGAAAUUUCCUUCUUUUGUGUAAAGUUUCUAUUGGUGCUAAAAUUUAUUUGGCUGACAUGAUUUGGGAGCAAAUUGUCUCUCUUAGAAAGGGCAAGAAACCUAGACUUAAUCUUAUUUUUUCUCAUUUGAUUUAUAAGAUUUUGUCUAACCAAGAGGAGUUGAUUCUUGGGAAUGAAACCAUAGAAGUGCCUGCUGUUGGUACCACUUUUAAAGUUCCAGAGAAACCUCCUAAAGGAAAAUUUGCUAAGAAAAAGGCUCGGUUUGCUUCCCCUGGUGCUACUGAUGAACCUACUGCUGCAUCUGCCUCCACUUCUGCUUCUACAGAAAUGGCUGAAUUCAACUUGUGUUUGGGAAGAAUGGAGACAACUCAAGCCUUACUUCUUAUGAGGAUGGACAACAUCAUGAAAUUCUUCUGAUCCAAUGAUGAUGAAUAAGUGGUCCAUCUUUUAUCUUUUUCCUUUUAUUUAUGUGUUUUGAACUAUUAUGACUUUGUUCAUAUUUUUUUUAUUAUCUUUGGCUCGUUGAUAGACAAAAAGAGGGAGUACUAUUUCUUUUUUUGGAUUGUUUGUUUGUGAGGGAGUUGUUUUGUUUGUGGUUUGUGAACUUCUCCGUUUUAAAGUUAUCUUGUUUGUGGUUUGUAAAAUUUUCCAUUUCAAAAGUUAUUUAUUUUAUGUGUUAGAGUGCUUUCAUGCAAAGGGAGUAUUUUAUAUACUCUUUUGUUUUUGUUUCAAACACUUAAUGUAGGUUUUCUCCAAAUAAAAUAUUUUGUCAAUCAAAGUGCCAAAGAACACUACUACAAACCAAGCUUUUAGAGGCACUUUUUUUCAGCAAAUAUUAAAGAACCGACGUCAUAGGGUUGGAAUUUUUUAGAAGGGAUUUUGACACUACCUAUGGCGUCAGUUUUUUGGAAAUAACCGACGCCAUAGGGUGUCCCCCCUAUGGCGUCGGUUAUUUCUAAAAAAACUGACGCCUAAAGGGUUUAUAACCCUAGCCCAGCCCAUCAUCUUCCUCAUUCGACCAGCCAACCCAGAAACCCCCAAACCAGAGAACCCCAAACCCUCUCCGCCAACCACCACGAAAAACCACCCCCAUUUCACCAUUUUUUCACCAUUUUAGCUCAUUUUUGUUUCUAAAUCUUCUAUUUUUCAUACCUAAAACUAUAUACCUGGAAAGAUCACAUUUUUCCUCAUUUUUUAGGGUAAACCGAAGGUAGAGGUAGUGGUGGUGGUAGUUAUACCUCCGGCCACCGUUUUUAGUGGAGAAAACAUUGUAUUUCAACGUCUAUUAAGGUAUAAAUCUAAUUUCUACUAAUUUUAGUACUGUACAUUGCUUUAUUUUUUAUUUUAUAAAUUUUUUUAGGGUUUUUCUAUAUUAUUAAAUAUGUAUUGUGUGUAUAUAUUGUGAAUGAGAAAUGUAUUGUGUGUAUAUAUAUUGUGAAUGAAAAAUGAGAUAUAGGAGAGUAUAUAUGUAUGUAUUUUGUGUUGUAUUGAAUAUGUAUUGUGUGUGUAUAUAUUGUGAAUGAGAAAUGAGAUAAAUAGGAGAGUAUUUUAUAUUAUUUUGUAUAUGUAUAUAUUGAGUAUUUUAAACAAAUAGUUUUGUUAAAUAUUGUGAAUGGGAAUGAGAUAAGAGAGUAUUAAAAUAAAAGUUUAGAAAUUGUUUUCUAAAAAAUUAGUUUAGAAACAAAAGUUUAAAAAUUAACUCUAUUUUGUAUCAAUUUUUUUCUAUUUUUAAUUUUAUUCAUGUGUUUUUAUUUUUUUUAGUAGCUAGUAGAUAGUUAAUUAUAACUACUUAGCAAGUUACUAAUUUUCAUUCUAUUCAUGUAUUUUUAACUAGUUAGUAAUAAAUUAACUAGUUAGUAACUAAAUACUCAUAAAUUAUAUAACUAGUAAGUAGCUAAAUAAAAAAAAUUAUAAUUUUGUAGUAUUUCUUUAUGUUGUAGGUUGUGAGGUCAAUUUGCAAUGAUCUGACUUAUUUGGUAUUGAUCGGUUUCUAGUUAGCUCGAGGAUUUUAUCGGAAGUGACUUUAUCGGAAGACAAGUACAUAAUUUUUGGUAUAAGGUAUGCUUUUGUUAACCUACUUUUAUAAGAAUAUUUUUCAUAUAUAUUUAGAUAAUCUUUAAAUGCUUAGAGUAAUUUUAGAAUAAUAUUGAUGUAAUACAUAGGAUAUAUAUUGUUGAGUGCUAAGGAUAGAUAUAGUAAGCUAUAAAAAAAAUACAAAAAAGGUCUAUAUUGGGAUUUGAACUUGUGACCAAAAGGAUAGAUUGAUAAGUUUUUACCAAUAUACCAAAACACAAUAGAAUUAACAAAUACAAACAUUGAUUCUAAUACUUAAAAUAAGAAUUCUAUUAGUUUAUGUUAAGUAAAAUAGCAAAAUAAAACACAAAAAAUACCCAAGUUCAAAAAAAAAAAAAUCGCCUCAAGCGGA